CCCCUAGAUGUUCUGGGCCGCACGCGCGCUACACUGAACAGUUCAACAAGUCUUAACCUUGGCCGAUAGGUCUGGGUAAUCUUUGAACGCUGUUCGUGAUUGGGAUAGACCUUUGCAAUUAUUAAUCUUCAACGAGGAAUUCCUAGUAAGCGCGAGUCAUCAGCUCGCGUUGAUUACGUCCCUGCCCUUUGUACACACCGCCCGUCGCUCCUACCGAUUGAAUGGUCCGGUGAAGCGUUCGGACCGUGGCCUUUGGACGGUUCGCCGUCUGUUGGCUGCGGGAAGUUCGUUAAACCUUAUCAUUUAGAGGAAGGAGAAGUCGUAACA
rnacentral:rRNA from 1 species